GUCAGAAUGCACCUUGACAUUGCAAUUGAGAUGGAAGCAAAUUGCAUAUCGAAGUAUUAUCAGCUUGUAUGAAGCCAUGUUAUGCGUGUUCUUAGAGGUCCUUACAUUAUCUCACCUUGUUUGUACCGUCAGUGGCUUUCACAAGUUGGUCCCACCAUCUAAGAACUAACACAGUGUCUUUUACUAUAGACAGCCACACACAAACAGGAAAUGCUAUGGUUUCCUGUGCAGGCAAUGCAGCCGAUAUUGCUCAUUCUUUUAACGUUUACACAGCCUUGUUGAUGUAUUAACCUGGCUUCUUUUUACUUCCUUGUACACAGGAAGAGUCUCCCGUACAUUAAGGGACCCGAUGCGCCAGGAUCAAACGCCUGAAUAGGCGUACGGACACUGGGUAUGCAGAUGCAGUUGCUUCUACACUGACAAGCCACUGUCCCUGCUGUUUUCUUCAGGGCGUACGGACACUGGGGUGCGAGGUGGCUUGGGACUCCCCCCUGGCAAUCAGGAUCUACGCAGCCUUCUCCCCAGCCGAUUUCUGCGGCUCUUGUCACUGAUCGGAGAGAUAAGGUAGCGGGGGAAUCCGACCGGCGCUCAUCAUUGGAAGCU